AGACAACUUCUUACUUUGUUGCCCAGGCUGAAGUGCAGUGAUGCGAUCACGGCUCACUGCAGCCUCGACCUCCCAGGCUCAAGCGAUCCUCCCACCUCAACAUCCCAAGUAGCUGGGACUCCAAACGCGUGCCACUAUGCCCGGCUAAGUUUUGUAUUUUUAGUAGAGAUGGAGUUUUGCCAUGUUGCCCCGGCUGGUCUCGGACUCCUGGGCUCAAGCAAUCUGCCUGCCUCUGUCUCCUGAAGUGUUGUGAUUACAGGCAUGAGCCACCGCACCUGGCCAAGAUGCUUUUUCUGUUUCUGAGAUACAAUGAACUAUAUCUUAAGAAUUCAUAAAGCCCUAAAAAGUAAAUAUUUACAACCAGAAAUCUUUCUGACAAAGAAACAAGAUUACUCAAAGCUCUCUAUGGUGGCAAAUUAUUUCAGCACUAAAUCAUGAAGGCUGGAUUCUUGAAGCCUGGCAGAGGCAAAUGUCUCAUUAAUGCUGAUCUGAGAGACAUCUGUGAUGAGCCUGAACAUCAGGCCAAUCUGCAGAGCUGAUCAGGGGCUGCUGAGUGGUUCUGAAGUGAGUCAGGCUGUGAAUGAAGACUCCACCAGAAUGAGGAGAAUUCCAUGCAUGGAGAUUCAAAUAAAGACAAAAGGGAGAUGCAACUAUGGAGGCUGAGAAGUCCCACCAUCGGAGCGCCUCUGCCCCGCCGCCCCAUCUGGGAUGUGAGGAGCGCCUCUGCCCGGCCGAGACCCCGUCUGGGAGGUGAGGAGCGUCUCUGCCCGGCCGCCCCGUCUGAGAAGUGAGGAGACCCUCUGCCUGGCAACCACCCCGUCUGAGAAGUGAGGAGCCCCUCCGCCCGGCAGCUGCCCCGUCUGAGAAGUGAGGAGCCUCUCCGCCCGGCAGCCACCCCAUCUGGGAAGUGAGGAGCGUCUCCGCCCGGCAGCCACCCCGUCCGGGAGGGAGGUGGGGGGGGGUCAGCCCCCCGCCCGGCCAGCCGCCCCAUCCGGGAGGGAGGUGGGGGGUCAGCCCCCCCGCCCGGCCAGCCGUGCCAUCCGGGAGGGAGGUGGGGGGGUCAGCCCCCCGCCUGGCCAGCCGUGCCGUCCGGGAGGGAGGUGGGGGGGUCAGCCCCCCGUCCGGCCAGCCGCCCCGUCCGGGAGGUGAGGGGCGCCUCUGCCCGGCCGCCCCUACUGGGAAGUGAGGAGCCCCUCAGCCCGGCCAGCCACCCCGUCCGGGAGGGAGAUGGGGGGGUCAGCCCCCCCACCCGGCCAGCCGCCCCGUCCGGGAGGGAGGUAGGGGGGUCAGCCCCCCGCCUGGCCAGCCGCCCCGUCCGGGAGGGAGGUGGGGGGGUCAGCCCUCCGCCCGGCCAGCCGCCCCGUCUGGGAGGUGAGGGGCGCCUCUGCCCAGCCGCCCCUACUGGGAAGUGAGG
rnacentral:lncRNA from 1 species